rnacentral:lncRNA from 1 species
AAAGAGGAAAGGAAAGAAUUCACAGAUAGAUAUAAAGGAUAGAUUUACCAAACAGGUGAGAAAGGGGAAACAGAAUAAUACUGUGCACAAGGUAUAGAUAGUAUAGAUAAUAUAGAGAGAUCCACACUGAGCAGGGGGAUCAGUAUCCUGGGGAAAGGGGCAAAUAAAUACCCUAAGAAAAGGGGGUAAUUUGACACCCUGAGCAGAGGAAGUAAAUAGAUACUGGAGAAGAGGGGCAGAUCAAUUAAUAUAAGGUAGAGUUACAAACAGAGGAACACAGGUGGAAGAUAACAGGUAGAUAUCUUAACAUUGAAGGUAGGUAGUCAGCGAGGGCAGCAGGGCAACAAAAAGGGGUGAGCUGGUCAGAGAGUUCCAGGGAAUACGGUAAAUAGGGCAGGUGGGGUAAUAAGGCUGAUACAGGGCAGUAUAUAGACAUUAACAGGGCAGGUGGGGUAAUAAGGCUGAUACAGGGCAGUAUAUAGACAGUAACAGGGCAGGUGGGGUAAUAAGGCUGAUACAGGGCAGUAUAUAGAUAGUAACAGGGCAGGUGGGGUAAUAAGGCUGAUACAGGGCAGUAUAUAGACAGUAACAGGGCAGGUGGGGUAAUAAGGCUGACACAGGGCAGUAUAUAGAUAGUACCAGGGCAGGUGGGGUAAUAAGGCUGAUAAGGGGCAGUAUAUAGAUAGUACCCCGGCAGGUGGGGUAAUAAGGCUGAUACAGGGCAGUAUAUAGACAGUACCAGGGCAGGUGGGGUAAUAAGGCUGACACAGGGCAGUAUAUAGAUAGUACCAGGGCAGGUGGGGUAAUAAGGCUGACACAGGGCAGUAUAUAGAUAGUACCAGGGCAGGUGGGGUAAUAAGGCUGACACAGGGCAGUAUAUAGAUAGUACCAGGGCAGGUGGGGUAAUAAGGCU